CAGGUGUUGUGGCCAUGGAAGUAAGGCCAGUGGCUACGAGGGACAGUCUUCAUCUUGGGAGAUCCCUAGAGAGGGCAGGGAGCCCCUUGACAUGUGGAAUGUGAUCUCUGUUGGGUGCUGGUGGAUCCCACAGGUGGUCUGGCAUGGAAGAAGGCCAGAGGCUGCGAUGGAUCAUCUUUGUCUUGGGAGAUUCCUGGAGAUGGUGGGGAGCCCCUGGGCACGUGCAGCAUAUGUGGCGUGGGCUUCUUCAGGUGCUGGUGGAUCCCUCAGGAUGUUCAUUGUGGAACCAGCACAGAUUUUCAUACGAAAGUUAUUUCUUUUUAACCUCAAAAAGUGACAGAAUGGAGUGUAUCAUGAAAAAGUCUGACAUCAAAACCUCAAAAUGUGAUAUUGAUUGGGUGAGAUAGAAUUCCAUGGAAUUUCAUUGCCAAACCAGUGAAGUGCUAAUUUUGACAUUUGUACCAGCUAACGUAGCUGUGAAGAAACACACCAAUACACUUCUAAGGACAGCAUAGACCAAGAUCUAGGUUUCAUAUGGAUGAAUUUAUUCUUCCCUUUGAGGCAAGACAAGAAGGAAAGAAA
rnacentral:lncRNA from 1 species